UACGGAAGGCAGCAGUGGGGAAUAUUGCACAAUGGGCGCAAGCCUGAUGCAGCCAUGCCGCGUGUAUGAAGAAGGCCUUCGGGUUGUAAAGUACUUUCAGUCGUGAGGAAGGUGUUAAGGUUAAUAACCUUAGCAAUUGACGUUAGCGACAGAAGAAGCACCGGCUAACUCCGUGCCAGCAGCCGCGGUAAUACGGAGGGUGCGAGCGUUAAUCGGAAUUACUGGGCGUAAAGGGCACGCAGGCGGUUAAUUAAGUUGGAUGUGAAAUCCCCGGGCUUAACCUGGGAAUGGCAUUCAAGACUGGUUAGCUAGAGUCUUGUAGAGGGGGUUAGAAUUCCAUGUGUAGCGGUGAAAUGCGUAGAGAUGUGGAGGAAUCCGGUGGCGAAGGCGGCCCCUGGACAAAGGCUGACGCUCAUGUGCGAAAGCGUGGGGAGCAAACAGGGAUUAGAUACC
rnacentral:rRNA from 1 species